GACGAACGCUGGCGGCGUGCUUAACACAUGCAAGUCGAACGGAAAGGCCCUGCUUUUGUGGGGUGCUCGAGUGGCGAACGGGUGAGUAACACGUGAGUAACCUGCCCUUUACUUUGGGAUAACUUCAGGAAACUGUGGCUAAUACCGGAUAGGAGCUCCUGCUGCAUGGUGGGUGUUGGAAAGUUUCGGCGGUUGGGGAUGGACUCGCGGCUUAUCAGCUUGUUGGUGGGGUAGUGGCUUACCAAGGCCUUGACGGGUAGCCGGCCUGAGAGGGUGACCGGCCACAUUGGGACUGAGAUACGGCCAAGACUCCUACGGGAGGAAGCAGUGGGGAAUAUUGCACAAAGGGCGGAAGCCGGAUGCAGCAACGCCGCGUGCGGGAUGACGGCCUUCGGGUUGUAAACCGCUUGCGCCUGUGACGAAGCGUGAGUGACGGUAAUGGGUAAAGAAGCACCGGCUAACUACGUG
rnacentral:rRNA from 1 species